UGGUUUUCACUUUCUCUUUCUACACUCUCUCAAUCCUUUCUUCUCUCUCACUAUUCAAAAUCUCAUAAACUCUCUACAAACAAAAAAACUCAACAAACUUCGUUUUCUCCUUCAAGUUCCCGCAAGCACUUCCAAUUGAACCACCAUCGGCAAACGCUCCAUUCCGAUCAACGCCACUGCCACCUCAUUCCGUCGGUGGUCUCAACGCCAUCACCUUCCUCCCGACUUCAUGCGGUUUGUGAGCAUCAUCACCGCCACGACAAGCUGUCCGCUGUGUUUUCUUCUCCCGCCAACUCCGACUCAAUGACGUUCCAACGAUGCUCCUCCCUCUCUUCCGAUAACACUUCGGCCAAUACCGUCUCCUUUCGGCUUCACCUUGAUUUCGAUCACUCGAAGUAUUUUGGGUUACUUGCUUUCAUCUGCUAA